rnacentral:rRNA from 1 species
UACGUAGGGUGCAAGCGUUUAAUCGGAAUUACUGGGCGUAAAGCGUGCGCAGGCGGUUUUGUAAGCCUGUCGUGAAAGCCCCGGGCUUAACCUGGGAAUUGCGAUGGAGACUGCAAGGCUUGAAUCUGGCAGAGGGGGGUAGAAUUCCACGUGUAGCAGUGAAAUGCGUAGAGAUGUGGAGGAACACCGAUGGCGAAGGCAGCCCCCUGGGUCAAGAUUGACGCUCAUGCACGAAAGCGUGGGGAGCAAACAGG